ensembl:lncRNA
CGUGAUGUCACGGCUGAUCUGCGAAAACUAACAAGAAUGGCGUUUCUAACAGACAGUAUCAAUAUAUUUGGUUGUCAAACUUCAACAAUCAUCAGAACUAAAUAGUUAUGUUUUAUCCAGAAUUUUAAUCGUUGCAGCCUGUAUAGUUCUAACACAACACAAAAAUCUAACGUGAAUAACAAUGACAAGUAACCAAUGACAAAGUUAAGAGGCGUGACUUGCUGGAGGCCCCCCAGCUGCGAUGUAAAGACAGUAUUUAACCCCGCAGCAUCCACAGAAGUCAGCUGUUGUUUCAAGCGCGGAGUAUAUCGUUUCAGUUGUUGAGCGGAAUUAAACACCAGCCGUGUUUGGUAAACUUCAAAUCUUGUUGUAGCCGUUCAGGAGCCAUAUGAGCUGGCUCUUUCCGGUGACGGAGACAGAAGUGCCGGCUUAUCAAAAACACGCACAAUGCCCAUCACAACUGCUUAUACCAACAAGCAUGUAAGGAGCCAUUGAGAUGAUGAUGCAGGACGCACGAGCGACGAGGGAUGUUGUGCUGGAUGUUGAGCCGGACAGACAGGCAAUGAGGGAUGUUGAGCCGGACGGACAGGCGAUGAGGGAUGUUGAGCGGGAUGUUGAGCAGGACGGACGGGCAAUGAGGAUGGAGGGCAUGGUCCGGACAGACAGGAAAGUGGCCUGGACGUACAGCUCUAACUGGAUGUACAUUGAAGCAAACUGGAUGUCUUGUGCAUGAGCAUAUUGUGAAUGUAAUAAAAUGGAGAAUGAAGCGAUCAUCAAUCAAAUUAUGACUAUUAUCCAAUGACAAUAUGUAUUCUUUCUGUGAUGAUUAUUCUAGAAUUCAGACUAGGCUGCACUGUUUCUUCUAUUGGG